GUUUCGGUAUACUGUAGCUUUAGUUUCGGUUCUGAGUGCAGAGCACAUCACUGGUACCAUGCCCUGUGUUUUCUACAGGGAGGCCGUUAGCGGUGCCAGCAGCUACGAUACAGUUUUCGCUGCAUCGGUACAUCUUCUUGUGCAACAACCGUGGCUCGGCACCCGAGCGAGUCUCAAGCGUGCGAGCUCUUCGUUCCGUGAGGGAAGAAGCUUCUUCUCUUGAGCCGGGAGUCGCAAGAUCACAGUCGCUGACAUGGGACCCAGCAAUCUGGCGGCCGUGGCGGUACGCGACCUGAGACUGAGCUACAGCAGGAACUCGCCGCCCGUCAUCGACGGGGCCAACAUGACCAUCACCAAGGG